UCCUUCUAGUCUCUCGCAAUGUUAUCUUUGAAGAAUCGAGUUAACGUACGUCCAGUAAAACAGUAUCUUCAUCAAAAGAUGACAUUUCUUGUUGAUAAAGCUGUUUCAAGAAAUUUUGUAAAUAAAUUUAGCAGCAUAGAACAUCGGUAACCACUACGCUGAGGAGGCUUUUGGUUGAGUUGGCGAUUUUAAUUAAAUUUCCCUUUUAUUUUGAUACUUACGCGUACGUAACGAGAUUCCAUGAUACCUCUUGACACACAUACCUUUAAACAGUAAUUAGUAAACGUACCAAAUGAAGUAACGAAACGAAAAAGAGGCUAUAAUGACUGGCGUCUCAUUUUGUCGCAGUGAAACUCAUCUACCUAUCUGUUUUAUCAAGGCCACCGAAGAAACAAGGCAAUUGGACCUAAAACCCAGCAAAGAUUAUUGCCCUUUAUCUAUCAGUAAUCAGAGGUAAAUCGAUGUUACUUCAGGGUACCAAGAAAAAUCAAGUAGACGAAACCUUUAGGACGUUUGACAUUCCAGAUCAGUGUGAUUUGGAAAGAAUUAAGGCAGGAUACCACUCCAACGACGUCUUGUGUAUUCGUUUUCCUUCAAGAAAUGAGCUGGUUGUUAAAGUAUGGACAAAUAAAAAUGUCAAAAGUUUUUGAUAAUUUAAUACCUAAAUGAAAAAAAUAAAAAAACUAAAAG
rnacentral:misc_RNA from 1 species